rnacentral:misc_RNA from 1 species
UCACAGCUGUGCCACCUCCAGGUAUAAAUAUUUCUCUACUUUCUUAUGCUGGAAAAUCUCAUUAAUCACCUCAUUAAUCACAAGUUCAAUUUGAUUCUGAGCUUUAGGCUCAGAAACUCCUAAACAAUGUCUUAUCAAAACCUCUUUUCCUUUUCUUCUCGAGUAGACACAUCUAUAAUUGAGAGACCAACAUGAAAGGGGGCUCUUACCUUAGCAUAUGAUGCAGAAUCUUUCCUUUCCUGUUGAUGCUUUUACCAUUGUGGUAGGACGAUAUUAGUGGAAUUGUUCAAGAAUUAAGAGCUUCCAGUUUCUGUUCGUUAUUGACUGGGUUUCCUGCAACAGUUGCCCUCAAGUAACCUUUUUGUUUUCAUAAGAACAGAUUUUGCCAAUCAGCAAUGAAAGAGAUAAAUUGCAGAAGAGAAUGUAUCAUCUUCUCACG